rnacentral:rRNA from 1 species
CCUACGGGAUGCAGCAGUGAGGAAUAUUGGUCACUGGACGAGAGUCUGAACCAGCCAAGUAGCGUGAAGGAUGACUGCCCUAUGGGUUGUAAACUUCUUUUAUAAAGGAAUAAAACGAGGCACGUGUGCCUUUUUGCAUGUACUUUAUGAAUAAGGAUCGGCUAACUCCGUGCCAGCAGCCGCGGUAAUACGGAGGAUCCGAGCGUUAUCCGGAUUUAUUGGGUUUAACGGGAGCGUAGAUGGGUUGUUAAGUCAGUUGUGAAAGUUUGCGGCUCAACCGUAAAAUUGCAAUUGAUACUGGCAGUCUUGAGUACAGUUGAGGUAGGCGGAAUUCGUGGUGUAGCGGUGAAAUGCUGAGAUAUCACGAAGAACCCCGAUUGCGAAGGCAGCAUACUAACCUGUGACUGACAUUGAUGCUCGAAAGUGUGGGUAUCAAACAGGAUUAGAUACCCGUGUAGUC